rnacentral:lncRNA from 1 species
CCUGCCACUGAACCUUUACUGAUGCAGUGUUCUUCAUAUGUGCGCAGUAUCAAAAGAACAUCUUGGGUUAUUGAGAAAAGACUACCGAUGGGGGAAAAGGUAGUGUUAUAGAUACUUUCCCCAGAUGAGCGCAUCACGAAUCGUGUCGAUGAAUUUUAAAAUGUGUACACAUAUUUUUUCACACUUUGCCCCUUUGACAGAGUUGUGCUCUACUUCUGUUUAUAGUAUCGGAUUACCUGGGCGCAGAUCCACAUGUUAUUUUAGCGAAUAGUAUUGAUAAUGAGAUUUUUUCGCGGAGAAGGCGGGACUUUGUUCUUUCCUUUUUAAUUCAUGCAACCCCCAACCCUAAAUCAUUUCCAAACCUUCGCCGCCUUUGAAUUCUCCGCUCAUCUCUCUUCUCUCGACCUAACCCUAGCCUUCUUCAACCACCGCUUCCCUCUCCGGCCAUUGUCGACGACCACCUCACCCAGUACAAACUGCUGCAGCAAUAUGUCACCCGGACACGAACAAAAGUUUCAUAUGAAUUUAGUAACUGCUCAUCACGAAAAAAGUGAAUGUCCUUAUUUAAGCUACUGGGAACUACAGUCCAAUUUGUUCAAUCACUAUCUCUGUCUUCUAUCUCCCAAUUUCUUCCCAAGGUAUGUGAUAUUUCUUCUCUCUUUCAGUCGAAGCACCUAUUUCUAUAACUAGUGAUAUAUAUAUAUAUAUAUACAUAUAUCAUUGGGCCAGAUCAUUUUAUUGCAGCAGUCGAACGCGUGGGCUAUUGCAAUUUGCAUGACGAGUGCUUCGGAGCUAUUCUUCACUAGGAGGUCUCGUUACAGCCGAACGGAUCCCGAAUUAGGGUCCGACUCAUUGCCGGGUCGAAUCUCUGACCACCACAACAUUCACAAUCGCCGCCGUCAUCAUCACAACCACCAGCAGAGCAGCAAUAAAAAAUUUAGGUGCUGCUUUAUCUAUUGUGUUGCGCUGGCAUAAUAUAUUCGACCAGAGCUUCUAAAUUGUGUACAGCAAGAGGAGAGUUUGAGUCACAAUGGUGAACAUACAUAUAUUAAAUAUGAGAAUUUCUAAAUAGCUGAAUCCAGAUGUUGUUUCAGCGUAUCCUUUCCUUUUCCUAUUAUCGGGUUUUAACUCUAAUUUCUUGCCUGGGUUAGUUAGACUAAAGAAAG